rnacentral:lncRNA from 1 species
GUGCAAAAAGAAUCAGCUGAGACACAGACCUCAGGGGGAGAUGGUACAUCCCUGUGCCUCUGGUCAGCUGGAACAAGGAGCUAUUGUCCCUUCUGGUCAUCUUCAAGCCUGGUCUGGGAUCUAUCCACAGUGACAUCUGGGGACAUCUACAAAGGACAAUGUCAUCUUGAGAGGGGAAAUGGACUGUGUUCCAUGACUUUCCAGAGUGUGUUCUGGCCUCUACAGUGCUCAGUUGGAAGCACUGGGCUGGAGCCCCAGGAUUGGUCAGGGAUGGCACCGGGACCAGUAAGCAUAAGUGGUCCAGGGCAAAUGUAUUCAUAUUUAAAUGCAUAUUAAAUCUAAAUGAAGAAA